rnacentral:rRNA from 1 species
CUGGCUCAGGAUGAACGCUAGCGGCAGGCUUAACACAUGCAAGUCGAGGGGCAGCGGGAUGUAGCAAUACAUUGCCGGCGACCGGCGGAUGGGUGCGUAACGCGUAUGCAACCUACCUUAUACAGGGGAAUAACCUUUCGAAAGGGAGACUAACACCCCAUAGUAUUGAUUUAAGGCAUCUUAGAUUAAUUAAAUAUUUAUAGGUAUAAGAUGGGCAUGCGUAUGAUUAGCUAGUUGGUAAGGUAACGGCUUACCAAGGCGACGAUCAUUAGGGGUUCUGAGAGGAAGGUCCCCCACACUGGUACUGAGACACGGACCAGACUCCUACGGGAGGCAGCAGUGAGGAAUAUUGGUCAAUGGGCGCAAGCCUGAACCAGCCAUGCCGCGUGCAGGAAGACGGCCUUAUGGGUUGUAAACUGCUUUUACAUAAGACUAACCGUAUAUUUGCGAAUAUACCUGAAUGUAUUAUGAGAAUAAGGAUCGGCUAACUCCGUGCCAGCCGCGGC